GACGAACGCUGGCGGCGUGCUUAACACAUGCAAGUCGAACGGAAAGGCCCCUUUGGGGGUACUCGAGUGGCGAACGGGUGAGUAACACGUGAGUAACCUGCCCUUGACUUCGGGAUAACUUCAGGAAACUGGGGCUAAUACCGGAUAGGAAUCCUUGCUGCAUGGUGGGGGUUGGAAAGCUUCGGCGGUUUUGGAUGGACUCGCGGCUUAUCAGCUUGUUGGUGGGGUAGUGGCUUACCAAGGCUUUGACGGGUAGCCGGCCUGAGAGGGCGACCGGCCACAGUGGGACUGAGAUACGGCCCAGACUCCUACGGGAGGCAGCAGGGGGGAAUAUUGCACAAUGGGCGGAAGCCUGAUGCAGCAACGCCGCGGGCGGGAUGACGGCCUUCGGGUUGUAAACCGCUUUCAGCAGGGGCGAAGCUUGUGGUGACGGUACCUGCAGAAGAAGCACCGGCUAACUACGUG
rnacentral:rRNA from 1 species